GACGUAGGGCGCGAGCGUUUGUCCGGAUUUAUUGGGCGUAAAGCGCACGUAGGCGGCUUUGUAAGUUAGAGGUGAAAGCCCGGGGCUCAACUCCGGAAUUGCCUUUAAGACUGCAUCGCUAGAAUUGUGGAGAGGUAAGUGGAAUUCCGGGUGGAGUGGUGAAAUGCGUAGAUAUCCGGAGGAAUACCAAAGGCGAAGGCG
rnacentral:rRNA from 1 species